rnacentral:tRNA from 1 species
AGCCCCUUAGUCUAGUGGUCUAGGAUUUCAGGUUUUGGUCCUGAAGACCCAGGUUCGAAUCCUGGAGGGGCUA